AGAAGCUCUAAGAUCAAACUGUUAGAAUGCAAAAGAAAAGAAAUGGUGACAACAUAUAGAUAGGCUUUGCUUGAAUGGAUUUCCUUCUCUCUCCUGAAGUCCUUUUGUCACAUUCAAUGCUGUUGCCUCCUGUAAUACAACUCCCGGAAUGGAAAUGACAUGAUGUCAGAGGUAAUUCCUGCAAAACCAGUUUCAGGUGCCCAAGGUGACCCUUGUAGGACCUGAGAGCUUGAACCACGAUGACAUUGGAGCCUCAUAGGACUUCAGAUGGGAUGAUCCAGCAAGCCAACCCAAAUAGAGCCAAGGUCCUCUUACUAUCUGGCUUGACGGCUCCUGAAACUGCUAGUGUUUCUGCUUUUGUCAACAUCAUCAAGUCCCACCACUGGUGUUUUCAUCCACAUGGACUUCUGGCAACCAAUGGGCCUUUUUGAGCAAAGAAUAAUAUGGUCAGAUAUGGAUUUUAUAAAUAUCAACUUGGCAACUUGAUUAGAGAAGAAAGGAGACUGAAAGUAGUUUGUAAAUCUAUUUACUACACCUGAUGCUGUGU
rnacentral:lncRNA from 1 species